GCUGGGGUAGCUCAGUUGGCAGAGCCUGAGACGCACAAUCUCAGGAGUUUGGGUUUGAGCCCCAUGUUGGGCA